GAAAGGGUACAUUCGCCAGCAGUUUUGCCACGAGAGUACACCGAACAAAGAGACAGGGUCAUUUGUAACCUGAUGCGUCCACCCUACUGCUGUGUCCGGUUUCCAUUGGCUGGAACGGGACCUCAUAUUCUGUAUUUGUCCUGAUUGGGAAGCAACUUAAAACUUUUUAAAAGAGGCGAAGGCAGAAGAGAACAAAGGAAGGAGAAAGUAACUUGUGGAAUGGUGAGAAAGGCAUGAGGCGAAUUCUCAGCCAUGACAAGGCUGAAGGCCAGCAGGAACAGGCUCUAGCGAAAUGGGUGCUGUGUCCCCUUCCUGCAUGUGGCAGAAAGUUGCAAAGGUAUGAGAGAGGAGACAAACGGAAACCAUUCUCCCUUAUCUCCAGCUCCAAAUUUCCCCUCCCACUCUUACUGGUUUCUUAGGUGUUGUUCUAGAGCCUUUAUUUUCUACAGGGCGUUUGGGCUGGGGAAGGGUCCUGUACACUCGCAACAGGAGGUGUAGAAUGAGCCCUGCAUUGAAUGUGUAAGCAUCCAAAGCUGUCACUGAGGUGAGAAGAGCCUUCAUUGGCAGCCUCAAAGAGAAAGGUGUGCUUGGAUGUAUGCACUGGACAUGCCACCUAGGCCUACUGGACAUGCCGCCUAGGCCUGCUGGACAGACUGCACAACUGAGGCCCUGCAACUGGCAAUCUCCCAAUGGCUUUCUCACCUCUCAGCAUUUUUCCCUAUUUGUUUUCUACGUGGACUCCAGAAGAGUUCUAACAAGCCAAGCUAUAAAGCAUGGCUUUAAAAGAAAAACAACUGUAAGGUAAAAUCCAGCUUAAGUGACGUAAAUUUACAAGCAAAUCAGAUUCUGGAACCUCACCUUUACAAAUCUUGCAAAUCAACGUGCAGGGAAUGUGUUUGUUUCUACAUCAGAGGCACAACUGGGCAUCAUACAGCCUAGAAGCUAAUAGAGCACAUGGACAAGGAACAGAGCCUUUAGCUCUUCCAACCCUCUUAUUUUCUCUCUUUUUUUUUUUUUUUUUAGACAGUCUUGCUCUGUUGCUCACGCUGGAGUGCAAUGGCGCAAUCUUGGCUCACUGCAACCUCGCCUCCCAGAUUCAAGCAAUUCUCUUGCCUCAGCCUCCCAAGUAGCUGGGAUUACAAGCGUGUGCUGCCACGCCUGGCUAAUUUUUGUAUUUUUAGUAGAGAUGGGGUUUCACCAUGUUGGUCAGGCUGGUCUCAAACUCCUGACUUCCAUGAUCCGCCUGCCCCAGCCUCCCAAAGUGCUGGGAUUACAGGCGUGAGCCACCAUGCCCGGCCCUUGUUUUCUCUUACUGUCUUGAGCUGACAUGGGGAUAACUGACUUUUAAGUGUCACUGGGCAGCAGCUUCCCAGCAGAUGGCAAGUUGCCAAGAAAUGCUAUUAAUGUUUGACUCCAUUCUCCAGUUCUCCAUAAAAAUUGACUUUACUAAUUACAAAAAAAAUUUUAUUAUUACAAAACAUACAAUCUCACAAAGGUACAAUUUGAAAUACGGGGACACCCUUCUAACUACCACCCAGGUGAAGAAACAGAACUUUGUCAGGCACCCCAGAACCCCUCCAAGUGCCUCAUCACAAUGACAACUCCUUCCCUCUAGAAGUAGCCAUUAUUCUUGUAUAGUACUGACUGUGUUUCUUUAUGGUUUUAUCUUAUUUUUUAGAGACAGGGUCUUGUUCUGUCACACAAGAACAAGUGGACAGGUGGAGUGCAGUGGUGUUCAUAGCUCACUGCAAUCUUGAGCUCCUGGGCUCAGGUGAUCUUCCUGUCUUAGCCUCCCAAGGUGCUGGGAUUAUAGGCGUGUGUCAUUGCACUUGAACUAGUUUUAUUUUUUUUUUGAGAUGGGGUCUCGCUCUGUCACCCAGGUGUUGCCCAGGCUUGAGUGCAGUGGCGCGAUCUCAGCUCACUGCAACCUCCGCCUCCCAGGUUCACGCAAUUCUCCUGCCUCGGCCUCCCGAGUAGCUGGGAUUACAGGUGCCCGCCACCAUGCCUGGCUAAUUUUUUGUAUUUUUAGUAGAGACGGGGUUUCACCAUGUUGGCCAGGCUGGUCUCAAACUCCUGACCUCAAGUGAUCCGCCCGCCUCGGCCUCCCAAAGUGCUGGGAUUACAGAUGUGAGGCACCGUCCACCGUGCCCAGCCGAGUUUUAUUCUUGAAUCGUGCAUGUCUCUGUUCACUACAGUUUAGUGCACCAUUUAAAUAAAUUUGUUGUCUUUUAAGUUCAUCAAAAAUAUUUCUUUUGAAGCACUAUAAUAAUGCUGGUGAUGGAACUCGCCACCAUUAUUCCCUGGGAGCUUCUGGCAGAUUCUGUCAGUUGGAAUCUCUAAUUCUUUUCUCAGUGGACCUUUUUACUUGACUCCCACAGUUCUUUAAGUAGCUUCUUUUUUUCCAGGGUUUCCUUUGCUCUUUUUUUCCUUUCUUGUUUUUUCUUCGCCGCUUCUCGUUUUUCUUUGUGAACAGGACUGUUUUCACCAUUGUAGAAAACAUCUACUUUCUCUUGUAGGAUUUUCCGAGCUAGCUUUCUGUUCUGAUCAACUGAUCUUGUCUGAUGGCACUGUAAGAGAUAAUAUUUUAUAAUGUGAAAACCACAGGAUGUUAAAAAUGGACAGGACCUCAGAAGUCAUUAAAUUCAACCUGUUCGCUUUUUUAUUUACUAUUUAUUUAUUUAUU
rnacentral:lncRNA from 10 species